ensembl:rRNA 5S_rRNA 5S ribosomal RNA
GCUUACGGCCAUACCACCUUAGGCACGCCCGAUCUCGUCUGAUCUCGGAAGCUAAGCUGGGUCGGGGCUGGUUAGCAGUUGGAUGGGUGACCGCCUGAGAAUACCAGGUGCUGUAAGUA